ensembl:snoRNA SNORA71 Small nucleolar RNA SNORA71
ACCUGCAUCGAAAGUGAUUGUGGUCUGUUGCUUGUGGCCUGAUCAUUGAUACUGCAGGCAGAGAAUUCCUGAAAGCAUUUCCCGUGUUUGGGGGGCUUUUCCAUCCCUUCCAAACCCUGAGCUUUUCAGACA